CCACUAAGCCACCCAGGCGCCCCACUCACUCCCCUUUUUUUAAGCUCCAGAUAAGCAGGGAUCUUUUUUUCACUGCUAAGAUGGAUUGCCAUAUCUAUAUGCACAUUGAGUUUUUUGUUGUAAAUAUUCGUGGUGUAAAACUUACCAUUUUAACUAUUUUCAAGUGUGUGGUUCUGUGGCAUGAAGUCCGUUCCCGUUUGACAGCCAUCACCACCAUAUAGCCACAGAAGCUUCAUCUUAAACUGCAACUCAGAGCCAAUAACAGUAACUCCCAAUUUCUCCUUCCCUUUAUAAACAUUUAUUUUUUACCUUUAAAAUGGCUGAGAUUUCAGUCAGGUUGUGAGUAUGCAGAAGGAAUCCUGCCACCCCAGCCACCGCCCGGUUCUCUUCCCAGAAGUCUUGGUUCUUUAUCUUUCCAUCGAAGUUUAUGCAUGAUACAUGCAAAGACCUUCUUUCCCACCCAGCUUUUCCCAUUUAGCUGCUUCUUGGAGAUCAUCUGGUUCUAUUGUCUACAUGUGCCUUAACCUUCCCAACUCGCCUCCUGUUGGUGCACAAUUAGGCGGUGACCAAUUUUUUUUAUAUGGUAUAAGCUGCUUUUUAUGUAGCGCAUUUUGUUUAAGUGUUAGUUUUCCUUAGGAGAUAUUUCAGGAAUUGGAAUCACCGGGCCCGGUAGAACGUGUCAGGUAAUUUUGAUAGCUGUUGGCAAAUUCCUAGAAGGAAGUUGAAUCCGUUGUUGAAGCCUGGCCACCAAAGUGUGGAGUUUUGGAUAGCAUCUGUUGAUUACCACUGUGUAGAAAGAUGGGGUUCUGUUCUACCCCAACAACAUCCCUUCCUGCCUGUCCUCCUCGUGCAGUCAAUGUUUCAAAGGUGCGUGGAAAACGGAGUAAAGCUUGAACUUUCAAGGCCAAGUACCAAGAAUGAAGAGCAGGGUGUACUCCUGUGAUCUCGCAGUGUUGAUGAGAGGAAGUCUCGGGUGGUGUCCCUCCAGUGUUAAUGUGCACACAAGUCAUCUUGGGAGCUCGUGGAAAUCUGGAUUCAGGAGAUCUGGAUUGCGGCCUCUGCAUUUCUAGCAAGCCCCAGGGGAUGCCAGUGACAAAAGCUGCUGGUCUGAAGGCUACCUGUGAGUAGCAAAGACAGACGACAAGAAGUGCAUCAACUCCAGAAUCAGGCGAACUGAACUUGGGGAGGAUUCCGUGUUGUGGAUCCAGGGCCACCUUGGCUAGAGCCCAGCAUGUUCAGACACCAGGCACCUGCCAACAUCACAGGAAGGUGAGAGGUAGCGGGGCUUGUGGCAGAGAUGGAACAAGAAGCAAUUAAAAACUGUCCCGGCACGAGGUUGCCCCCAGCCUUCACCUUUUCCAACUCCCAAAACUGUCCUUCAUUCUGUCCCUCUUCAGAAAGCAGCUGUAUGACUUUCUCAUCAUCACAAAAGGAAGGCUCUAAAGCCUGUGAUUCUCUUCUAAGCUCUGUCAAAGUCACAUGUACUCCUCUCUCUCCAUUUGUGAAGCCUUCUCGGGGCCCCUCCAGCAGGGCACGAUGCCGGGUGAGGCAGGAGGGAGCCCUGUCCUCGGGAGCUUCACAGCCUGCCUGUGGAGAGGAGACAGCUCGAGUGUUGCUGGAGGUGGUGUGAAUGCUCAGGCCUCACAGACCAGUCUGGGGGAUGACAUGAUUGUCAACUGUAUCUUGAACAAAGGUCACUGGCCACAUGGAUGACUUGGAGCAGGGAGACCCCUAAAGGUUGUCACGGUAGUCUGUAACCUCUGCUGUCCGCUGCAGCCUAGAUGGUGACAUCUGUCAUCUACAGCUGUGGUGGUCUGUGACAUCUGUCGUCUAUAGACUAUGAUAGCGUGUCGUCUGUCGACCCUGAGAGCCCAUGUUUGUCGUCUAUAGACCAUGAUGGUCUGUCACCUGUGUCGUCUAUAGACCAGGAUGGUCCGUGUCGUCUGUUAACUAUGACAGCCCAUGUCUGUCGUCUAUAGACCAUGACAAUCUGUCAUCUGUGUUGUCUGUAGGCCAGGACGGUCCAUGUCGUCUGUCAU